CAACUACUCCCUCUGUCCCAAAUUUCUUGUCUUAGAUUUGUCUAGAUACGGAUGUAUCUAAUACUAAAAUGUGACUUGAUACAUCCGUAUCUAGACAAAUCUAAGACAAGAAUUUUGGGACGGAGGGAGUAAUUU
rfam:Triticum aestivum genome assembly, contig: Triticum_aestivum_CS42_TGACv1_scaffold_321168_4BL